GGAUUGCCCUAGUAACGGCGAGUGAAGCGGCAACAGCUCAAAUUUGAAAUCUGGCCUCGGCCCGAGUUGUAAUUUGCAGAGGAUGCUUUUGGCGAGGCGCCUUCCGAGUUCCCUGGAACGGGACGCCAUAGAGGGUGAGAGCCCCGUACGGUUGGACGCCGAGCCUCUGUAAAGCUCCUUCGACGAGUCGAGUAGUUUGGGAAUGCUGCUCAAAACGGGAGGUAAAUUUCUUCUAAAGCUAAAUACCGGCCAAAGACCGAUAGCGCACAAGUAGAGUGAUCGAAAGAUGAAAAGCACUUUGAAAAGAGGGUUAAACAGCACGUGAAAUUGUUGAAAGGGAAGCGCUCGUGACCAGACUUGCGCCCUGCGGAUCAGCCGGCGUUCUCGCCGGUGUCUCUGCAGGGUCCAGGCCAGCAUCGGUCUCCGCGGGGGGAUAAAGGCUUAGGGAACGUGGCUCCCCCGGGAGUGUUAUAGCCCUCUGCAGAAUACCGCCGUGGGGACCGAGGACCGCGCUUCGGCAAGGAUGCUGGCGUAAUGGUCACCAGCGACCCGUCUUGAAACACGGACCAAGGAGUCAAGCAUUAGGGCGAGUGUCUGGGUGUAAAACCCGCACGCGAAAUGAAAGUGAACGUUGGUGAGAGCUUCGGCGCAUCAUCGACCGAUCCAGAUGUUCUCGGAUGGAUUUGAGUAAGAGCCUUACCGCUUGGACCCGAAAGUUGAUGAACUAUGCCUGUAUAGGGUGAAGCCAGAGGAAACUCUGGUGGAGGCUCGCAGCGGUUCUGACGUGCAAAUCGAUCGUCAAAUAUGGGCAUGGGGGCGAAAGACUAAUCGAAUCAACUAGUAGCU
rnacentral:rRNA from 1 species